rnacentral:rRNA from 1 species
CCUACGGGAGGCAGCAGUGAGCAAUAUUGGUCAAUGGACGAGAGUCUGAACCAGCCAAGUAGCGUGAAGGAUGACUGCCCUAUGGGUUGUAAACUUCUUUUAUAUGGGAAUAAAACGUUCCACGUGUGGGAUUUUGUAUGUACCAUAUGAAUAAGGAUCGGCUAACUCCGUGCCAGCAGCCGCGGUAAUACGGAGGAUCCGAGCGUUAUCCGGAUUUAUUGGGUUUAAAGGGAGCGUAGGUGGAUUGUUAAGUCAGUUGUGAAAGUUUGCGGCUCAACCGUAAAAUUGCAGUUGAAACUGGCAGUCUUGAGUACAGUAGAGGUGGGCGGAAUUCGUGGUGUAGCGGUGAAAUGCUUAGAUAUCACGAAGAACUCCGAUUGCGAAGGCAGUUCACUGGACUGCAACUGACACUGAGGCUCGAAAGUGUGGGUAUCAAACAGGAUUAGAUACCCCAGUAGUC